rnacentral:rRNA from 1 species
UCCACGCCGUAAACGAUGAGUACUAGGCGUAGGGGGUAUAAACUCCCUCUGUGUCGAAGUUAACGCAUUAAGUACUCCGCCUGGGAAGUACGGCCGCAAGGCUAAAACUCAAAGGAAUUGACGGGGGCCCGCACAAGCGGUGGAGCAUGUGGUUUAAUUCGAUGCUACGCGAAAAACCUUACCUGGGCUUGACAUCCCGGGAAUCCCCUGGAGACAGGGGAGUGCCCUUCGGG